rnacentral:rRNA from 1 species
CCUACGGGUGGCAGCAGUGAGGAAUAUUGGUCAAUGGACGAGAGUCUGAACCAGCCAAGUAGCGUGAAGGAUGACUGCCCUAUGUGUUGUAAACUUCUUUUAUAUGGGAAUAAAAUGUUCCACGUGUGGGCUUUUGUAUGUACCAUAUGAAUAAGGAUCGGCUAACUCCGUGCCAGCAGCCGCGGUAAUACGGAGGAUCCGAGCGUUAUCCGGAUUUAUUGGGUUUAAAGGGAGCGUAGGUGGAUUGUUAAGUCAGUUGUGAAAGUUUGCGGCUCAACCGUAAAAUUGCAGUUGAAACUGGCAGUCUUGAGUACAGUAGAGGUGGGCGGAAGUCGUGGUGUAGCGGUGAAAUGCUUAGAUAUCACGCAGAACUCCGAUUGCGAAGGCAGCUCACUGGACUGCAACUGACACUGAGGCUCGAAAGUGUGGGUAUCAAACAGGAUUAGAUACCCGAGUAGUC